GAACGAUUAUUUGUGUCACUAUUUCCUGACUAGACAAUAGACUGGGGAGGUAGAAGUAGGGUCUGUUUCUGUAUCUCCAAAGCCUAGUAAAGUGCAAGACACAUCUCAGCCUUCAAUUCACGUCUGUGGAAUGAAUGAAUGACCCAUCAGCUGGGUUGAACUGUGUGUGGGAUGGUGGGAAAGAGAGUGAGAGAAGGAACUGGGGGCCAGAGCACCGAGAGCCUGGAGUCCUAAUGAGUUUGGGAUUUAUCCUUUGGACAACAGAAACUCAUCGAAAAUUUCUGAGCCAAGGAGUCCCGUGGUGCCCACCAGGUUCAGGAAGACUCACGUGCAGUGAGGCUGACGGCUGGAAGAAGGGGGCCUGCAGACAGAGCGGCCAGGGGCAGCUGUUCUGGGAGGAAAACAACACCUGGAACUCCUCGCCAGGAACUAUCAUAGAGUCGUGAGCCGCGAACCGAACUCCGCUCCUCGACUGCGCAGAAAGUGGGACAACAUGUGUUGGCUUAAUGGGCUGUAUCUGUUGGGAUUCUGAAAAGCCUCAUGCGAAGGACAGGUCUCUCCUAAGCGACGGUGAAAAAUGAAGUCUGCAGCUGGCGAUGAAGAAGCAGGCCAGAGGAAGUCUUGCUGCAGGGAACCUGGCUGACCAACAAUUAUUUUUUAUGACAUGGCAUACAUUAUGAUGAUGGUUUCAUUUCUGGUUAUUACCCUCUAUUAAAAAGCAUCUUGAGUAUCAUGAUUACGGGGGCAUCUUAUUCCCGCCUCAGGAAUCUACUCUCAUAUUUUCAGCGAACUGUUGUUUUUCCUGGAUGUAUUAUUAUUAUCGUUCUUGUUAUGUGAUUAUAUAAACUGCUAGCUGUGAUUAUGUAAACUGCUGGUUGUCAAGUAGCUUUUUUUAUUAUCCAUUGC
rnacentral:lncRNA from 1 species